CUGUAGGAAUGACAUCAAGACCAGUUUCAAUCUAGAAAUCAGAAUAAUUAGUCCAAGUAUGCGAGGACCAUGGUUUGGCUUUAACAAAGUUGUUGAUUCAGACACCACAAAUUUUAAAGAUCUGGGGGUCUGCACAAGAUUCAAAUCAGCUAGAUCUUUUGGCGAUUACAUAUCCUUCUGGGCCAAGUGAGUAGCACAUGGAUGACAAGAGAACAAGUCAGCAGCAACACAAGAAGAAAAGGGCCAUUAAAAAAAAUUAACUCCAAACAAGUCUAGUCCAGCCAUGGCAACCCGCCGCAAGGUCCCUAGUUCUCCUUCUAGUCCGGCCAUGGGAACCAGAAGCAAGAAAAAACUAGAUCUUUGAUGAGUUUGCAUCUGUAUGCCAUGCUUUUGUAAUACUUGAAUCUAUGUUUAGAGUUCAGACUAGUAAUGAGGUCAAUAUGGCCAUCUUUUGUGUGCAAACUUGACAUUUGAUCAAGCUGACUAUGCACGUUGAUGAUGUAUUUGGACCUCUUUUAUGUCUAAUUCUGUUUACUUAAAUACUAAUUGUGGUUGUGUUGAUUGUUCAA